ensembl:lncRNA
UGAUUUACUCAGCUGUCUUUAUACCUGUCUCCGCGUGGGUAAAAGGAGAUGCUUUCAUUGAUGGCUAUUACGGAAACGCUUGGGAACUGAAGAUCAGCCCCGAGGACUCGCUGUGCUUUUCUCCCUGCCACCCCCUUCCCCUCCCUCCUGCCAGAAACCAUCUGACUUCCAAACUUGGCUGUCUGAAAAAGAAUGUUCUCUGAUUGGCAUUCCUGGAAGCAGAAAGCAAGGCAGCUCGAGUUGUAUUCUGUUACUCAGCGUGAAAAACUUCCCAGGCUGCUCCCCAAGGCUAAUGGAUGGUGUCUAAACACAUGUGACCUAAGAAGAGUGGACAGAGCUGGCGGCAGGCCAUCUGGUUCACAUCGGCCACACUAUUCACUCAUGCUGUACCUUCCAGGGAACACUGCUGCUGCUGCUGCUAAGUCGCUUCAGUCGUGUCCGACU